AUUUUUUUGGCUAGUUAUAAUUGAAUUAUUUUGGUUCAAAAAUGUUUUCAUGGAUCUUCUUCAGCUCCCAACAACAAGCGCCAACAUUUAACAAAAAAAAAUUGAAAACCGCGACGUUUUCAUUCCAAGAACCCUCUUCCCGCUGGUCUCUGAUGCCCUAAAUUCCCCUCCUAUAUGUGAUUCUCUCCCUUCCCAGUUCUUUACUCGCGUUUCUUCUCUGCUCCGCAUUUAGAAUGGAAGGACCACGGUGAGAAAUGUUCGUUUGGUCUCACGAUGGAAACAAUUCAUGGUACGUUAUCUUCCACCAUGGCGUAGGUCAGGCUUGUUAUUUCGCGACUUCGUGACAUUCCACAAUCUGAUAUGCUGCCUGUGAUCCGGAACGCGGCUGGAGUAUUUCUUUUCGUUGCAGCGGAUAACCAUCACUUGUGGCAUGAUGCUAGCAUAGGGAGUGGAUUAUACUUCAAUCAUCCUCACCAUCCCAUUGUUGGGGUUGUGCCAUGGGGAUGCUGAUGCGGAUGCGGGUUCAUACAAUGGGAGCAUAUCAGGUUGUGGGAUGUCGCGAAGUCGCGAAAUAACGAAUUGGAGCUGCGCCACAGUAUGGUGGAAGAUAAUGUACCAUGAGUUGUUUCCAUCGUGAGACCAAAAAUCGAAGAACGAAGCUGCCGUCUCUCCCCGAUUGCUGUCCACCUCAACCAUCAACUCCUCCUCCGAACUGCUCUGACCCAGGAAGAAAUGGAGUGGUCGGAAGUUUGCUGAGAGUCCGAAUGUGUAUGCACACUUCUGGGGCUUGUCAGAUUCACAGAAAAUUGUCCUUGUGCGUUCCAUUAUCUGAAGUUGACUGUUGAUCGACACUUGCUAUAUGGAUUUGGCUUAGGGUAUUAAGUUUUUCACUAUAGGGAUAGCUUAUUUUGUGAGAUGGUAACAUUUUACACGGUUAAACGUACAAAGCUUAUAUUUAGUAUACAUUUGGUUGUAUAUUUUGGUAUUGCCGUUAUCUUGGUCUGUAUUGAAUAGGUUUUGAAUUUGUUGGCUUAGUACAAUAUUUUUAGUAGUGUGGUAUUGCCUUUAUUUAGGUCUGUAUUGAGUAGGUUUUGUUGGCUUAGUACAAUAUUUUUGGUAUCCU